GUUAAUCAUCAGAUGACACAGUUGGUUAGAGUGUGGUGCUGAUAAUGCCAAGGAUGCAGGUUUGAUCCCCAUAUGGAACA
rnacentral:tRNA from 1 species